rnacentral:rRNA from 1 species
CCUACGGGAGACUGCAGUGGGGAAUAUUGGGCCAUGGGCGCAAGCCUGACCCAGCAACGCCGCGUGAAGGAAGAAGGCUUUCGGGUUGUAAACUUCUUUUCUGAGGGACGAAGAAAGUGACGGUACCUCAGGAAUAAGCCACGGCUACAUACGUGCAAGCAGCCGCGGUAAUACGUAGGUGGCAAGCGUUAUCCGGAUUUAUUGGGUGUAAAGGGCGUGUAGGCGGGAAAGCAAGUCAGAUGUGAAAACUCAGGGCUCAACCCUGAGCCUGCAUUUGAAACUGUUUGUCUUGAGUGCUGGAGAGGCAAUCGGAAUUCCGUGUGUAGCGGUGAAAUGCGUAGAUAUACGGAGGAACACCAGUGGCGAAGGCGGAUUGCUGGACAGUAACUGACGCUGAGGCGCGAAAGCGUGGGGAGCAAACAGGAUUAGAUACCCUUGUAGUC